AACGCGAAGAACCUUACCUGGCCUUGACAUCCUGCGAACUUUCUAGAGAUAGAUUGGUGCCUUCGGGGACGUAGUGACAGGUGCUGCAUGGCCGUCGUCAGCUCGUGUCGUGAGAUGUUGGGUUAAGUCCCGUAACGAGCGCAACCCCUAUCCCUAGUUGCUAGCAGUUCGGCUGAGAACUCUAGGGAGACUGCCGGUGACAAACCGGAGGAAGGUGGGGAUGACGUCAGGUCAUCAUGGCCCUUACGGCCAGGGCUACACACGUGCUACAAUGGCGCGCACAGAGGGCUGCAAACUCGCGAGGGUAAGCCAAUCUCUUAAAACGCGUCGUAGUCCGGAUCGCAGUCUGCAACUCGACUGCGUGAAGUCGGAAUCGCUAGUAAUCGCGAAUCAGAAUGUCGCGGUGAAUACGUUCCC
rnacentral:rRNA from 1 species